AGGACUUCGUCUGUGGUCAGCAGCCUUCUGUGGAUGUUUUCUGCUCUGCCUGGACAUGAGGGACAGGCAGACCCUGAAUUCACGAGAUGCCUGGCUACCAUAGCAGCUCAGUGGUCACAAGGUGAGGACAGCAAGUUGGUGGUCAGCAGGUCAGUGGUCACGAGAUGAGUUAAAGCAGAUUAAUUUCAGCUGAAGCUGGAUCCCAGGGAUACAGUGGAAUCAAAGGAAGGGGGCUUUGGAAUCGAAUGGACACAGGUAGGAAUCCCAGCUCCAGCACUUGCCAGACGUGCGUAUGGCACACAUUUGGUUUUUCGCUGUUGUUUGUCUUAAGAACAAGAAAUGCCUUUUAGUUGUGCCUGAAAAGGCUGUGAAUCCUCCAUUUGCCUGUUACCCUUACUAGUCGGUAAGCCCACGUCUGGCACAUGUGCUAGACAAAGUGGCACAAGUUACUUGACCACUUUCAACUUGCUCCCUCUCUCUGUAAAAUAGGAGAAUGGCCACUUCACUGGACAGCUGUGAGGACUCUG